GAUGAACGCUGGCGGCGUGCCUAAUACAUGCAAGUCGAGCGAACAGAUGAGGAGCUUGCUCCUCUGACGUUAGCGGCGGACGGGUGAGUAACACGUGGAUAACCUACCUAUAAGACUGGGAUAACUUCGGGAAACCGGAGCUAAUACCGGAUAAUAUAUUGAACCGCAUGGUUCAAUAGUGAAAGACGGUUUUGCUGUCACUUAUAGAUGGAUCCGCGCCGCAUUAGCUAGUUGGUAAGGUAACGGCUUACCAAGGCAACGAUGCGUAGCCGACCUGAGGGGGGGAGGGGAAAAACGGGAAAAGAGAAAAGACAAAGACACAAAGGGGAGGCGGAAGGAGGAAAUCUUCCGAAAGGGGGAAAAGCAGGAGGGAGAAAGGCGGGGGGAGGGAGAAAGUUGUGGGAAUAGAAAAACUUUGUUAUGAGGAAAAAAAAAAUGUGAAAGAAACAAGGCCCGUCUGAAGGGUACAUAAUAAGAAAGCCAGGGAAAACACCGUG
rnacentral:rRNA from 1 species